UUACACGUAGUCACCCGGGUUGCCGCCUAAGGCCCCCCGGGUUAACCCUACCACCCUUUGUUUAUUACACUUUGUUGCUUUGGCAGGCCUGCCCUCGGGCUGCUGGCUCCGGCCGGCGAGCGCUUGCCAGAGGACCUAAACUCUGUUUGUCUAUACUGUCUGAGUACUAUAUAAUAGUUAAAACUUUCAACAACGGAUCUCUUGGUUCUGGCAUCGAUGAAGAACGCAGCGAAAUGCGAUAAGUAAUGUGAAUUGCAGAAUUCAGUGAAUCAUCGAAUCUUUGAACGCACAUUGCGCCCCCUGGUAUUCCGGGGGGCAUGCCUGUCCGAGCGUCAUUACAACCCUCAAGCUCAGCUUGGUGUUGGGCCCCGCCGCCCCGGCGGGCCCUAAAGUCAGUGGCGGUGCCGUCCGGCUCCGAGCGUAGUAAUUCUUCUCGCUCUGGAGGUCCGGUCGUGUGCUUGCCAUCAACCCCCAAUUUUUUCAGGUUGACCUCGGAUCAGGUAGGGAUACCCGCUGAACUUAA
rnacentral:rRNA from 1 species